rnacentral:rRNA from 1 species
AUUGAACGCUGGCGGCAGGCCUAACACAUGCAAGUCGAACGAGUGGCGGACGGGUGAGUAAUGUCUGGGAAUCUGCCUGAUAGAGGGGGAUAACUACUGGAAACGGUAGCUAAUACCGCAUACUAUCGGAUGCGCCCAGAUGGGAUUAGCUAGUAGGUGGGGUAACGGCUCACCUAGGCGACGAUCCCUAGCUGGUCUGAGAGGAUGACCAGCCACACUGGAACUGAGACACGGUCCAGACUCCUACGGGAGGCAGCAGUGGGGAAUAUUGCACAAUGGGCGCAAGCCUGAUGCAGCCAUGCCGCGUGUAUGAAGAAGGCCUUCGGGUUGUAAAGUACUUUCAGCGGGGAGGCGUUACCCGCAGAAGAAGCACCGGCUAACUCCGUGCCAGCAGCCGCGGUAAUUC